UAUAGGACGUGCAUUAGAAAAGUCGAAAAUCGCAAUAUUCGCACACAUUGUCAACAAACUCUGUAAACGGAAGUGAUAAAAUUGAAUUUAAAGGAUACCCAAGUGUAACCGGCAACAAUACUAUCAGUAUGCGUUUGAUGUGGUGUAUAAUGAUGGGAGUGCUUGCAUUAGCAACAAACAUUUAUGGAAACGCUUCAGAUUGUCCCGAGUCCACUCUUCGUAGAGUACAACAGAAUGAUUGGGUACGUUGUGAUGAAGAAAAGGAACGAAGGAUGGAAGAGUUAAAGCGAAAACCAUCAUUGGAUAGGGAUGAACAAGUCAGACAAGUGUGCUGCAUAUUGUCUGAUACAAUGACUUGUUGGGUGGAUAGUCUACGUUCAGAGUGUGGAGAUGCAAGUGCAAAUAAGCUGA